AAGCCCACACUGUGUCUAA
rnacentral:misc_RNA from 1 species